AUUGAACGCUGGCGGCAGGCCUAACACAUGCAAGUCGAGCGGAUGAAGGGAGCUUGCUCCUGGAUUCAGCGGCGGACGGGUGAGUAAUGCCUAGGAAUCUGCCUGGUAGUGGGGGAUAACGUCCGGAAACGGGCGCUAAUACCGCAUACGUCCUGAGGGAGAAAGUGGGGGAUCUUCGGACCUCACGCUAUCAGAUGAGCCUAGGUCGGAUUAGCUAGUUGGUGGGGUAAAGGCCUACCAAGGCGACGAUCCGUAACUGGUCUGAGAGGAUGAUCAGUCACCCUGGAACUGGGCCACGGUCCAGGCUCCUAAGGGAGGCAGCAGUGGGGAAUAUUAGACAGUGGGCGAAAGCCUGAUCCAGCCAUGCCGCGUGUGUGAAGAAGGUCUUCGGAUUGUAAAGCACUUAAAGUUGGGAGGAAGGGCAGUAAGUUAAUACCUUGCUGUUUUGACGUUAACAACAGAAUAAGCACCGGCUAACUUCGUG
rnacentral:rRNA from 1 species